GAGGACUUCUGAGGAAUCUGUGUGAGUGAAUCUUCUGUUUCUAACUGGAAGGUCCUCUGCACGUGGAAAAGAAAUGGAAGACAUAAAAUAGGCAGCAGAAGGAAGAGGAGAGAGGAACAGAUUCAAGUCCAGGUCCAGAGUGACCAGAGACAACCUCAAGGUGUCUUUGGGAUAACAGGGACCAGCAAACAACCUGUGACCCAAAGGGAAAUAGCAGCAGCAGCAACUGGGCUCUUCUCCAAAGCUCGUGAUAAUGGCCAACAUCAUUCCAGCCACCAGCACAAGGCAAGACAUGCACACACAGAGCAUCCUCCUGCCCGUGGCAGCCAGGGCACCCUUCAGACAUCCCACCUCACCUGCUGACACAAUCCUUCAGCGCCCACCAAAAUCAAAUGCAGCUAAUUGGAAGGUGAUGACAGCCAGGGGAUUGCUGGAUUUGCAUGCUAGUUCCUCUAUUUUAGCAUCACACAGCCCAAGUACAGGUUCUGUGUUCAAGAGCUUCCUGAGAAAAACAGGAUUUCUGCAUGGAAGGAGGAUGAGUUCUCAGACAC